ensembl:snRNA U6 U6 spliceosomal RNA
GAUGGAUAAACCAACCAGCUUCAGAACUGGAAUGCUACGGAGAAGAUUAGCAUGGUUCCUGCAUAUAAGGAUCAUGUGUAAAUUCAUGAAACAGUCUAUGAUUGU